rnacentral:rRNA from 1 species
GAUGAACGCUGGCGGCGUGCCUAAUACAUGCAAGUCGAGCGAACAGACGAGGAGCUUGCUCCUCUGACGUUAGCGGCGGACGGGUGAGUAACACGUGGAUAACCUACCUAUAAGACUGGGAUAACUUCGGGAAACCGGAGCUAAUACCGGAUAAUAUAUUGUACCGCAUGGUUCAAUAGUGAAAGACGGUUUUGCUGUCACUUAUAGAUGGAUCCGCGCCGCAUUAGCUAGUUGGUAAGGUAACGGCUUACCAAGGCAACGAUGCGUAGCCGACCUGAGAGGGAGAUCGGCCACACUGGAACUGACACACGGUCCAGCCUCCUACGGGAGGCAGCAGUAGGGAAUCUUCCGCAAGGGGCGAAAGCCUGACGGAGCAACGCCGCGUGAGUGAUGAAGGUCUUCGGAUCGUAAAACUCUGUUAUUAGGGAAGAACAAAUGUGUAAGUAACUAUGCACGUCUUGACGGUACCUAAUCAGAAAGCCACGGCUAACUACGU